GAUGAACGCUGGCGGCAUGCCUAACACAUGCAAGUCGGACGGGAAGUGGUGGUUCGAGCGGCGGUCGGGCGAGUAACGCGUAAGAACCUGCCCUGGGGAUGGGAACAACAACUGGAAACGGUUGCUAAUAGGGCGUAGGCAGCGGAGCAAACGUGAGAACGCGCCCGAGGAGGGGCCUGAGCCUGAUUAGCUAGUUGGAGAGGUAAUAGCUUACCAAGGCGAUGAUCCGUAGCUGUUCCGAGAGGAUGAUCAGCCACACUGGGACUGGGACAAGGACCGGGCACCUACGGGAGGCAGCAGUGAGGAAUUUUCAGCAAUGGGCGAAGGGCUGACGGGGCAAUGCCGCGUGGAAGUAGAAGGCCCACGGGUCGAGAACUUCUUUUCUCGGAGAAGAAACAAUGACGGUAUCUGAAGAAUAAGCAUCGGCUAACUCUGUG
rnacentral:rRNA from 1 species